rnacentral:rRNA from 1 species
UUAAUUGAAGAGUUUGAUCAUGGCUCAGAUUGAACGCUGGCGGCAGGCCUAACACAUGCAAGUCGAACGGUAACAGGAAGCAGCUUGCUGCUUUGCUGACGAGUGGCGGACGGGUGAGUAAUGUCUGGGAAACUGCCUGAUGGAGGGGGAUAACUACUGGAAACGGUGGCUAAUACCGCAUAACGUCGCAAGACCAAAGAGGGGGACCUUCGGGCCUCUUGCCAUCAGAUGUGCCCAGAUGGGAUUAGCUUGUUGGUGAGGUAACGGCUCACCAAGGCGACGAUCCCUAGCUGGUCUGAGAGGAUGACCAGCCACACUGGAACUGAGACACGGUCCAGACUCCUACGGGAGGCAGCAGUGGGGAAUAUUGCACAAUGGGCGCAAGCCUGAUGCAGCCAUGCCGCGUGUAUGAAGAAGGCCUUCGGGUUGUAAAGUACUUUCAGCGGGGAGGAAGGUGUUG